UGAACUGAAAAGAUACCGAGUGCUUCAAAAGACUUUUUUUCUUGCAGAUCCUUCCAAUUUCCUUCUUGUAGCACGAAAUCUCGUUCUUGCAGGUUCAUCAAAUAUUUACAACGAGCUUCAUUAUGUUUUUAAGAAUGGUAAACUUCUAUCUGCGGAAUAGUCAUUAAUUUUCCGCAAAUUAACCGCACUGGAAUCGAGGUGUGCAAUUAAAAUUAUCAGUUUCAUUGGUUCGUGGAUCUUUGGGAACGCGUCUGGAAAGGAAAGCACGAACAGGACAGGUGUAUAUCUAUAUAGCUGAAGGAUAAUUCACGACUCGAGGCAUCAUGUAUUCGCUGAGCAGGUCGGGGGUGUAAUUUGCGGGUUGUAAUACCAAGCGCAUCGUUUGUAACCCGCUCGCGACAGGAAGCCAGGUACACGAAUGGAAAGGGGUGUGAGAAACAUCCCAGAGAACUAUGUAACCACAUCGUCUUAUCGGCCGUAUGGCUCCCACUGGGCACGAAGUAAAAAAGAUUUCCAACAAGAAGCAGAAGAAAAAGGGGAUGAGGAGAAAGAAAAUUCCAAUACUUGAAUGAAGAUUUAUCCAAGGACGCAAGGAAACAAGUAACUUUUUCCAAAUGUUUCCUAUUUCUUGAAUAAUGAAUUUUGAAAUAUUUCCAAAAUGAGAGGAAAUAAAGGAGGCGUUUAAUAAUGCAGGAAUCUUCUAAAAAGAGAGAAGAAGAAUGAGAAACUUUUAUCGGAGAAAAUCGGCUUGGCCGACAUUUAUGAAGUUCGCGGGCGUCUUUUCUUUCCAGACAGGUACCGCUCACUAUUCUCUGGGGACGAGUCGCAUGAAGCGUCAAAAAAAAUGUAGCAUUCGUAUAUAUGUAUAUGGUAUCCAAAAAGUUGAAACUACCUUCUUGUACGGAUGGUUUUGCACGGAUAUUCACAUAGUGAAAAGUUUGUGAGUGUCGAGGAGAGAGAGAGAGAGAGAGAGAAAGAAGGGAAAAAAAGAAAGAAGGAAGAAGUGGUGAGAGUAGGCGAUUCCGAGGCCAUGGAAUAGGGGGUUAACUCGUCCCCAAAGUGCAGUAACCUCAGCGAAGAGACUCACCUUCUCGCAGCACUACUCAAGCCGCCAGAGGACCUUAUGACCCGUGCAAAAUGUAUACCCUGUCCUCAUCCUCAUGCUCUCGACCCGGAUAAAUCGAGCUCAGAAUUUCAUUUCGUAUCACACUUUCUUCAUCCUCCGC